UGCUGUGAACAUGUAUUAUUAAAGCUACUCAUUAUUAUUACGUACUUUCCACAUACUUCACAAUGGCGUGAAGGAUUAUUCGAUCUCAUGCAUACUAUGUACUACUGUUAUACUGGUUUCGUGCCAUAUUACUACGUCCUAUUCCGUCACCGCCACUCCAUGGACAGUUCUGCCUGGGUUAGAGGAUCGCAUGCAUUCUAACCAUGGACUCCGCCCACGUGAACAAGGUCAUCCCCGUUCCUUUUUCGGCAACGAAUGCUUGCCACAUAUCCUCCGCCACGAUGCUGGCAUGGUUCCAUUUCCGUAACGUCGGUACCGAAGUGCAGUAUCUGCCGUUUGUUCCUUACGGAGCAAUUUUGGCUUCCACGGAAAUCCGCAGCCUUACGGCAACAUGCAGCCACCGUCCGCAGUUAGUCUGCUGACCGUUCAUUCCAGCAGCAGCGGACACCGUUUUGGUUCUUUGCAGAACGCCCUUCUUCAAGGACAACUGAAGAACCUGGCUCCUCGCACUGAAAGCAAGGACCUACAUGGCUGUUGCCAUGGCUGACCUACCAUACACUGGCUUUCGUACAGCCUAUUCAAUUUACCAGCGACGUUCCGUACGUGCUUGAAUUCCAACGUACAAGUUCUUCCCAGUACCUUCACUGAAAUACAGGCAUUUCUUACGCCGUACACCCUGGAUACCGUUGCGUACCAGUUUGGAAGAUGCGUACAUCCGGUGAACUAGUACUACCUGGGUCAGUAUGGAUCCUGCAGCAGAAUCCACCCACAUACGGCGCCGUACUCAUUUUAUGGAUUUCAACUGCUGCACAGUACAAGUUCUGCCAGUACAGUACUCUGCCUCCGGUGAAUGAUAAGUACUACUGGAUUAUUAUUGCUUGGUUAAUACUUUACAUACUGUACUUGCUUACUUCGUACAAUUACUUAUCCGUUUUACAUUACAAUUUACUUUAGCGCUAGUACAAUACAAAUUCAUUCUUUUAUACAAUUCUUUAUUCAUACGUAUCACAUUCCUUCGAUACGUGGGGAAGAGUGUGGUGUCUCGUGAAUUCAUGUUGUUGUACUCCGUACACAUGUUGUUUACAUCCUAGCAACUCAGGUUGUAUUCUAUUGCUGUACUGUUCUACUUGUUACUGAUUUAGUCAUCUAGUUGGCCAGCUGCAGUGAACAUGUAUUAUUAAAGCUACUCAUUAUUAUUACGUACUUUCCACAUACUUCACAACUGCAUUUCGUACUACAUUUUGGAGCUCGACAAAUCUGAGAAUGCAUCCACCUUAAGGAGUGGAUUCUUCUUCGUUACAGCUGCUGACGUUGGGUUCAUAGCUUCCGACUGGACACUAUUGGUUUUCAAUCUUGCUCAUCUCAUCAACGUUCUCUUCCCAUUGAAGAGUCGGACAGUCGUUACAGCGAGCCGAAUACGAGCUGUCAUUAUCCUGCUCGUGAUGCUGGCUGUUGUGAUGUGGCUCUUCGACUAUAUCAAAACCUUCUCCUUGUCGGACGGCUACGAAGUUCAGCCGCAUAGUCGUUGGUUGAUGGAGUGGAGCCGCGUUCACACGAAAGAAGUGUCAUUUAUCAUCGUUUUCACUUUCUUUGCCAUCCUCUCAUCGAAUGUUGUGGUUAUCUUGUUCCUGAUGUGCCGGUACAAAUCUCCCCAAGUCGCCGCCAAUAACAAUCCUCGCCCGUCACGACACAUAGCGGCUGUGCGCCUGCUGAUCUUGCCAGCUGUAUGAAUGCCGUACUGAAAGCGCCUUUCAUCAUGUACGAACUGCUGGAAAAUCUGUGCGCGUACCGGGUACCGGAUGCAUCACUCACGGUGUUUGAAGCGAUAAGGAUUCAUUCGUACUUCGCGAAUUAUUCUCUGAGUUUCCUCGUCUACUGCUUGGUCAGUCCGGACUAUGGGAAGAAAGCCUGGAAAAUCGUAACAAGGUGUUGCGAAAGAAAGGCGGCAAGACAUGUACAUCACCGCCAAUUAACCCAACUUACUUCAACAGUUUGAGCCACUGCUGGAUCAUGUCUGUUUUCCCUCAUUUCUAUGAAAUUUUCGGUUUUACCUGACAUUAAGGGCGCUAUGUUCAUGCCUUUUAGUUUGGCAGCCUGUUGCUUUUUUUAAAAUAGGAUCUCGAAAAUUUUUGUGACUGCAAAUCAAAAAGCAGCAGUCAAAAAAUUUAGUACACUACUAAUUUUCGUAAUCGAAGUGUUUUGUUAACGACUGCUGCAAAUUUUCAAGUACAGAUUCAUGAUACAUCGAGCAUUGGGGUUUUUUGG